GACGAACGCUGGCGGCGUGCCUAAUACAUGCAAGUUGAGCGCUGAAGGUUGGUACUUGUACCAACUGGAUGAGCAGCGAACGGGUGAGUAACGCGUGGGGAAUCUGCCUUUGAGCGGGGGACAACAUUUGGAAACGAAUGCUAAUACCGCAUAAAAACUUUAAACACAAGUUUUAAGUUUGAAAGAUGCAAUUGCAUCACUCAAAGAUGAUCCCGCGUUGUAUUAGCUAGUUGGUGAGGUAAAGGCUCACCAAGGCGAUGAUACAUAGCCGACCUGAGAGGGGGAGCGGCCAGAUUGGGAGUGAGACACGGCCCAAACGCCUACGGGAGGCAGCAGGAGGGCAUCUUCGGCAAUGGAUGAAAGUCUGACCGAGAAACGCCGCGUGAGUGAAGAAGGAUGUCGGAUCGUAAAACUCUGUUGGUAGGGAAGAACGUUGGUGAGAGUGGAAAGCUCAUCAAGUGACGGUAACUACCCAGAAAGGGACGGCUAACUACGUG
rnacentral:rRNA from 1 species